GAGCGACAUCCUGCCAUGCAAUACCACCAAGCAAGUGGCUGAAAGUGAAAUUGCUAGCUUGAAUAAAUUGUGUACCAUAUGAUGGCAGGACUGGUUGCUCAAGUUAAUGACAGAGCCUAUAGUCGAUUGAAGGGUGUUUUCCUUGAGAGUGGAACCUCAGAGGAAUUCUCGCUUCUUCUUCCACAGCUCGAUAGAUCAAAGGCCAUUGUUGACAAAGCU